UACGAAGGGGGCUAGCGUUGCUCGGAAUGACUGGGCGUAAAGGGCGCGUAGGCGGUUUGUACAGUCAGAUGUGAAAUUCCUGGGCUCAACCUGGGGGCUGCAUUUGAUACGUAUGGACUGGAGUGAGGAAGAGGGUCGUGGAAUUCCCAGUGUAGAGGUGAAAUUCGUAGAUAUUGGGAAGAACACCGAUGGCGAAGGCAGCCAUCUGGACCGGCACUGACGCUGAGGCGCGAAAGCGUGGGGAGCAAACAGG
rnacentral:rRNA from 1 species